GACGAACGCUGGCGGCGUGCUUAACACAUGCAAGUCGAACGGAAAGGCCCUGCUUUUGUGUUGUGCUCGAGUGGCGAACGGGUGAGUAACACGUGAGUAACCUGCCCUUGACUUUGUGGUAACUUCAGGAAACUGGGGCUAAUACCGGAUAGGAGCUCCUGCUGCAUGGUGGUGGUUGGAAAGUUUCGGCGGUUGUGGAUGGUCUCGCGGCUUAUCAGCUUGUUUGUGGGGUAGUGGCUUACCAAGGCUUUGACGGGUAGCCUGCCUGAGAGGGUGAACGGCCACAUGGGGCCUGCGAUAGGGCGCAGACUCGUACGGGAGGCAGCAGUCGGGAAUCUUGCACAACGGGCGGAAGUGUGAUGUAGAAAUGUCGCGUGCGGGAUGCCGGCUUUUGGGUUGUAAACAGCUUUCGAAUGUGCUGAAGAGUGAGUGACGGUAACGGGUAAAGAAGCCCCGGCUAACUACGUG
rnacentral:rRNA from 1 species